GUAUUUCGUAUCAAUGCCUGAUAUUUUUCCAAGGUAAAUAUAUGGGCGGAGGUAAUGCCAUUCAGACACGACGCGCGGCAUAGCACAAUAGUUCGAUGCUAAUGAUACCUUUUUUUUUAAAUGGUUGACUAUGAUUCACUUGUGUUUCACAAAAUGUUGUGGCUAUCACAAAACAGAUAGCCCAGGUUUCUAAGCAGUUUUGUGAUUUUAAAGAUAGGUAGAGAUGGCGUUUAUAGUGAACUUUCGUGCGACAAA